rnacentral:rRNA from 1 species
UACAGAGGUCUCAACCGUUGUUCGGAUUCAUUGGGCGUAAAGGGUGCGUAGGCGGUCGGGUAAGUCGGAUGUGAAAUCCCAGGGCUCAACCCUGGAACUGCAUUCGAUACUGCCUGGCUAGGGUACUGGAGAGGAGACUGGAAUUUACGGUGUAGCAGUGAAAUGCGUAGAUAUCGUAAGGAAGACCAGUGGCGAAGGCAGAUGUC